AUUGAACGCUGGCGGCAGGCCUAACACAUGCAAGUCGAGCGGGGGUAGCAAUACCCUAGCGGCGAACGGGUGAGGAAUGCUUGGGAAUCUGCCUCGUAGUGGGGGAUAACGUUCCGAAAGGAACGCUAAUACCGCAUACGUCUACGGGAGAAAGGGGGGGAUCUUCGGACCUCUCGCUAUGAGAUGAGCCCAAGCGGGAUUAGCUAGUUGGUGAGGUAAAGGCUCACCAAGGCUACGAUCCCUAGCUGGUCUGAGAGGAUGAUCAGCCACACUGGAACUGAGACACGGUCCAGACUCCUACGGGAGGCAGCAGUGGGGAAUAUUGGACAAUGGGCGAAAGCCUGAUCCAGCCAUGCCGCGUGUGUGAAGAAGGCUUCGGGUUGUAAAGCUCUUUCGCCAGGGACGAUAAUGACGGUACCUGGAUAAGAAGCCCCGGCUAACUUCGUGC
rnacentral:rRNA from 1 species